rnacentral:rRNA from 1 species
AUUGAACGCUGGCGGCAUGCCUUACACAUGCAAGUCGAGCGGCAGCGCGGGGGCAACCCUGGCGGCGAGCGGCGAACGGGUGAGUAAUGCAUCGGAACGCGUCCUUUUGUGGGGGAUAACCAGUCGAAAGACUGGCUAAUACCGCAUGAGCUCGUAAGAGGAAAGCAGGGGAUCCGCAAGGACCUUGCGCGAGAGGAGCGGCCGAUGCCCGAUUAGCUAGNGGUGAGGUAACGGCUCACCAAGGCGACGAUCGGUAGCUGGUUUGAGAGAACGACCAGCCACACUGGGACUGAGACACGGCCCAGACUCCUACGGAGGCAGCAGUGGGGAAUUUUGGACAAUGGGGGAAACCCUGAUCCAGCCAUGCCG